rnacentral:sRNA from 1 species
GCCAGGCGUGGUAGUGCAUGCCUGUAAUUCUAACAACUUGGAGGCUGAGGCAGGAGGAUCAUGAGUUCAAAGCCAGUUUCAGCAAUUUAGUAAGGCCUUAAGCAACUUGGCAAGACCCUGUCUCAA